rnacentral:rRNA from 1 species
CCCUUAGAUGUUCUGGGCUGCACGCGCGCUACACUGAUGCGUUCAACGAGUGUAUCACCUUGCCCGAUAGGGUUGGGUAAUCUUUUGAACACGCAUCGUGAUGGGGAUAGAUUAUUGCAAUUAUUAAUCUUCAACGAGGAAUUCCUAGUAAUGAUGAAUCAUCAGUUCAUCGUGAUUACGUCCCUGCCCUUUGUACACACCGCCCGUCGCUCCUACCGAUUGAGUGGUCCGGUGAGGCUUUGGGAUCUGAGCGGAAAGAGCGUUUCGCUGUUUCUGCUCGGAAAACUCAGUCGAACCUUAUCAUUUAGAGGAAGGAGAAGUCGUAACA